rnacentral:rRNA from 1 species
GAUAACGCAUUUUAGUGGAGUGAUGAGUGCUGGAUAAAUUGCUAGCGGCGGACGGGUGCGUAACACGUGGGUAACCUGCCCCUAUCACUGGGAUAACACACUGAAAAGUGUGCUAAUACCAGAUAACAUAAGCUUUUGGCAUCAUUAGCUUAUCAAAGAAUUUCGGAUAGGGAUGGGCCCGCGUCUGAUUAGCUAGUUGGUGAGGUAACGGCUCACCAAGGCAACGAUCAGUAGCCGACCUGAGAGGGUGAUCGGCCACACUGGAACUGAGACACGGUCCAGACUCCUACGGGAGGCAGCAGUGGGGAAUAUUGCACAAUGGGCGAAAGCCUGAUGCAGCAACGCCGCGUGAGCGAUGAAGGCCUUAGGGUCGUAAAGCUCUGUCCUAUGGGAAGAUAAUGACGGUACCAUAGGAGGAAGCCCCGGCUAACUACGUGCCAGCAGCCGCGGUAAUACGUAGGGGGCAAGCGUUAUCCGGAAUUACUGGGCGUAAAGGGUGCGUAGGCGGUUUAUCAAGUCAGGGGUGAAAGGCUACGGCUCAACCGUAGUGAGCCUCUGAAACUGGUGAACUUGAGUGUAGGAGAGGAAAGUGGAUUCCCCGUGUAGCGGUGAAUGCUAGAUAUGGGGAGGACACAGUGGC